rnacentral:tRNA from 4 species
GUGGCUAUGGUGUAGUGGUUAACACUGCUCCCUGUGGAGGAGCCGUCGCCGGUUCGAAUCCGACUAGCCACC